rnacentral:rRNA from 1 species
AGUGAACGCUGGCGGUAGGCCUAACACAUGCAAGUCGAACGGCAGCACAGUAAGAGCUUGCUCUUAUGGGUGGCGAGUGGCGGACGGGUGAGGAAUACAUCGGAAUCUACCUUUUCGUGGGGGAUAACGUAGGGAAACUUACGCUAAUACCGCAUACGACCUUCGGGUGAAAGCAGGGGACCUUCGGGCCUUGCGCGGAUAGAUGAGCCGAUGUCGGAUUAGCUAGUUGGCGGGGUAAAGGCCCACCAAGGCGACGAUCCGUAGCUGGUCUGAGAGGAUGAUCAGCCACACUGGAACUGAGACACGGUCCAGACUCCUACGGGAGGCAGCAGUGGGGAAUAUUGGACAAUGGGCGCAAGCCUGAUCCAGCCAUACCGCGUGGGUGAAGAAGGCCUUCGGGUUGUAAAGCCCUUUUGUUGGGAAAGAAAAGCAGUCGGCUAAUACCCGGUUGUUCUGACGGUACCCAAAGAAUAAGCACCGGCUAACUUCGUG